rnacentral:rRNA from 1 species
CUGGGCGACCGGCGCACGGGUGAGUAACACGUAUCCAACCUGCCUCAUCUCGGGGAUAGCCUUUCGAAAGAAAGAUUAAUAUCCGAUAGCAUAUAUUUCCCGCAUGGGUUUUAUAUUAAAGAAAUUCGGUAUGAGAUGGGGAUGCGUUCCAUUAGUUUGUUGGGGGGUAACGGCCCACCAAGACUACGAUGGAUAGGGGUUCUGAGAGGAAGGUCCCCCACAUUGGAACUGAGACACGGUCCAA